rnacentral:rRNA from 1 species
GUCCACGCCGUAAACGAUGAGUGCUAGGCGCCGGAGGAUUGACCCCGUCGGUGCCGAAGCUAACGCGUUAAGCACUCCGCCUGGGGAGUACGGUCGCAAGACUAAAACUCAAAGGAAUUGACGGGGGCCCGCACAAGCGGUGGAGCAUGUGGUUUAAUUCGACGCUACGCGCAGAACCUUACCUGGGUUAAAUCCACCAGAACCUGGCCCAAAAGCCGGGGUGCCCUUCGGGGAAUUGGUGCGAAGGUGCUGCAUGGCUGUCGU